GUACGAUAAAGGCAAAACCACUGAAAAGUGGUGACGCAAAGCUAUAGGGGCUAAAUUGGGCAAUCGUUUCAUGUCCAAAAUGUCAGCCAGCUGCCUGU
rnacentral:ncRNA from 1 species